rnacentral:rRNA from 1 species
GGAGUCUGGGCCGUGUCUCAGUCCCAAUGUGGCCGUUCAUCCUCUCAGACCGGCUACCGAUCGUCGCCUUGGUAGGCCGUUACCCCGCCAACAACCUAAUCAGACGCAUCCCCAUCCUAUAGCGGUAAACCUUUGGUAUUCUUCAGAUGUCUUCUAAAUACAACAUAGAGCAUUAAUCCGACUUUCGCCGGGCUAUUCUCUACUAUAGGGAAGGUUGGAUACGCGUUACUCACCCGUGCGCCGGUCGCCAUCAAUCAAAGCAAGCUUCGAUCAUGCUGCCCCUCGACUUGCAUGUGUUAAGCCUGUAGCUAGCGUUCAUC